rnacentral:rRNA from 1 species
AUUGAACGCUGGCGGCAUGCUUUACACAUGCAAGUCGAACGGUAACAGGCCGCAAGGUGCUGACGAGUGGCGAACGGGUGAGUAAUGCAUCGGAACGUGCCCAGUCGUGGGGGAUAACUACUCGAAAGAGUAGCUAAUACCGCAUACGAUCUAUGGAUGAAAUCGGGGGACCGUAAGGCCUCGCGCGAUUGGAGCGGCCGAUGUCAGAUUAGGUAGUUGGUGGGGUAAAGGCUCACCAAGCCAACGAUCUGUAGCUGGUCUGAGAGGACGACCAGCCACACUGGGACUGAGACACGGCCCAGACUCCUACGGGAGGCAGCAGUGGGGAAUUUUGGACAAUGGGCGCAAGCCUGAUCCAGCAAUGCCGCGUGCAGGAAGAAGGCCUUCGGGUUGUAAACUGCAUUUGUACGGAACGAAACGGCUCUGGUUAAUACCCGGGGCUAAUGACGGUACCGUAAGAAUAAGCACCGGCUAACUACGUG